UGGGGGAUAUUGCACAAUGGGCGAAAGCCUGAUGCAGCGACGCCGCGUGGGGGAUGAAGGCUGUCGGGUUGUAAACCUCUUUCGCUAUCGAAGAAGGCGCGCUUAGGGGGGGUGGAGGGUAGGUGGAGAAGAAGAGACGGCUAACUACGUGCCAGCAGCCGCGGUAAUACGUAGGGCGCGAGCGUUGUCCGGAAUUAUUGGGCGUAAAGGGCUUGUAGGCGGCUUGUUGCGCCUGCUGUGAAAACGCGGGGCUUAACUUCGCGCGUGCAGUGGGUACGGGCCGGCUUGAGUGUGGUAGGGGUGACUGGAAUUCCAGGUGUAGCGGUGGAAUGCGCAGAUAUCUGGUGGAACACCGAUGGCGAAGGCAGGUCACUGGGCCGUUACUGACGCUGAGGAGCGAAAGCAUGGGUAGCGAACAGG
rnacentral:rRNA from 1 species